rnacentral:rRNA from 1 species
CCUACGGGAGGCAGCAGUGGGGAAUAUUGCACAAUGGGGGAAACCCUGAUGCAGCAACGCCGCGUGAGUGAUGACGGCCUUCGGGUUGUAAAGCCCUGUCUUCAGGGACGCUAAUGACGGUACCUGUGGCGGAAGCCACGGCUAACUACGUGCCAGCAGCCGCGGUAAUACGUAGGUGGCGAGCGUGUUCCGGAUUUACUGGGCGUAAAGGGAGUGUAGGCGGACGUUUAAGGGAGCUGUGAAAUACUCGGGCUCAACUUGAGUGCUGCAUUUCAAACUGGAAGUCUAGAGUGCAGGAGAGGAGAAUGGAAUGCCUAGUGUAGCGGUGAAAUGCAUAGAGAUUAGGAAGAACACCAGUGGCGAAGGCGAUUCGCUGGACUGUAACUGACGCUGAGGCUCGAAAGCGUGGGUAUCAAACAGGAUUAGAUACCCUAGUAGUC